rnacentral:rRNA from 1 species
AUUGAACGCUGGCGGCAGGCUUAACACAUGCAAGUCGAGCGGGGUGAUGGUGCUUGCACUAUCACUUAGCGGCGGACGGGUGAGUAAUGCUUAGGAAUCUGCCUAUUAGUGGGGGACAACAUCUCGAAAGGGAUGCUAAUACCGCAUACGUCCUACGGGAGAAAGCAGGGGAUCACUUUUGACCUUGCGCUAAUAGAUGAGCCUAAGUCGGAUUAGCUAGUUGGUGGGGUAAAGGCCUACAAAGGCGACGAUCUGUAGCGGGUCUGAGAGGAUGAUCCGCCACACUGGGACUGAGACACGGCCCAGACUCCUACGGGAGGCAGCAGUGGGGAAUAUUGGACAAUGGGGGGAACCCUGAUCCAGCCAUGCCGCGUGUGUGAAGAAGGCCUUAUGGUUGUAAAGCACUUUAAGCGAGGAGGAGGCUCUUUUGGUUAAUACCCAAGAUGAGUGGACGUUACUCGCAGAAUAAGCACCGGCUAACUCUGUGCCAGCAGCCGCCGUAA